CUCCCGUUGAUCCUGCCAGACCCGACUGCUAUCAGAAUGAGAUUAAGCCAUGCGAGUCAACGUAGCAAUACGUGGCACACGGCUCAGUAACACGUAGUCAACAUAACCAGAGGACGUGGAUAAACUCGGGAAACUGAGGCUAAACCGCGAUAGACCAAGAUACCUGGAAUGGUUUUUGAUCAAAAUCUAUAUGGCCUUUGGAUUGGACUGCGACCGAUCAGGCUGUUGGUGAGGUAAUGGCCCACCAAACCAGUAACCGGUACGGGCUCUGAGAGGAGGAGCCCGGAGAUGGGUACUGAGACAAGGACCCAGGCCCUAUGGGGCGCAGCAGGCGCGAAACCUCUGCAAUAGGCGAAAGCCUGACAGGGUUAUUCUGAGUGACUUUCGCUAAGAAAGUCUUUUGACAUCUCUAAAAAUGGUGUAGAAUAAGGGGUGGGCAAGUCUGGUGCCAGCAGCCGCGGUAAU
rnacentral:rRNA from 1 species